GAUGAACGCUGGCGGCGUGCCUAAUACAUGCAAGUCGAGCGAACGGACGAGAAGCUUGCUUUUCUGAUGUUAGCGGCGGACGGGUGAGUAACACGUGGAUAACCUACCUAUAAGACUGGGAUAACUUCGGGAAACCGGAGCUAAUACCGGAUAAUAUUUUGAACCGCAUGGUUCAAAAGUGAAAGACGGUCUUGCUGUCACUUAUAGAUGGAUCCGCGCUGCAUUAGCUAGUUGGUAAGGUAACGGCUUACCAAGGCAACGAUGCAUAGCCGACCUGAGAGGGUGAUCGGCCACACUGGAACUGAGACACGGUCCAGACUCCUACGGGAGGCAGCAGUAGGGAAUCUUCCACAAUGGGCGAAAGCCUGACGGAGCAACGCCGCGUGAGUGAUGAAGGUCUUCGGAUCGUAAAACUCUGUUAUUAGGGAAGAACAUAUGUGUAAGUAACUGUGCACAUCUUGACGGUACCAAAUCAGAAAGCCACGGCUAACUACGUG
rnacentral:rRNA from 1 species